AUGGAAGAAAUUCAGGGGAAGAAACUGUGGUGUUGUAGAGCUAGGAUGAGGAAAGGCUGUAUUCUUGUGCUGAGUCAGGACAACGAGGAUGCACAUGGCAGUUCGACUUUCUCUCUCAUGAGUAGCUUCACGCUACAGUCAUGGCCAUCACAGUAUGACACAUCUGGGAAGAGAGGAAUGAUGUGCUCAGCAAUGGUGCAUCUUGUGAUCCGGGGACAGUUGCUGGAGAAUCCCUUCUCUGCAUGCACAGUCGAGAUGUGUUCAGUCCAACCCCAUGGCAUCAGGGAGGUCGAGUUCGUCGCGAGCAGCAGUACAUGGUUGUCGGCUUCAACUUUCUUCCACCAAGGUGCUUUCACUCGGUGA
rnacentral:rRNA from 1 species